CGAACGCUGGCGGCGUGCUUAACACAUGCAAGUCGAACGGAAAGGCCUUUUCGGAGGUACUCGAGUGGCGAACGGGUGAGUAACACGUGGGUGAUCUGCCCUGCACUCUGGGAUAAGCCUGGGAAACUGGGUCUAAUACCGGAUAGGACCGCACUUUAGUGUGUGUGGUGGAAAGUUUUUUCGGUGUAGGAUGAGCCCGCGGCCUAUCAGCUUGUUGGUGGGGUAAUGGCCCACCAAGGCGGCGACGGGUAGCCGGACUGAGAGGUUGGUCGGCCACAUUGGGACUGAGAUACGGCCCAGACUCCUACGGGAGGCAGCAGUGGGGAAUAUUGCACAAUGGGCGCAAGCCUGAUGCAGCGACGCCGCGUGGGGGAUGACGGCCUUCGGGUUGUAAACUCCUUUCGCCAGGGACGAAGCGUUUUGUGACGGUACCUGGAGAAGAAGCACCGGCUAACUACGUG
rnacentral:rRNA from 1 species